rnacentral:rRNA from 1 species
GGAAAAGAAACUAACAAGGAUUCCCCUAGUAGCGGCGAGCGAAGCGGGAAGAGCUCAAAUUUAUAAUCUGGCACCUUCGGUGUCCGAGUUGUAAUCUCUAGAAAUGUUUUCCGCGCUGGACCGCACACAAGUCUGUUGGAAUACAGCGGCAUAGUGGUGAGACCCCCGUAUAUGGUGCGGACGCCCAGCGCUUUGUGAUACAUUUUCGAAGAGUCGAGUUGUUUGGGAAUGCAGCUCAAAUUGGGUGGUAAAUUCCAUCUAAAGCUAAAUAUUGGCGAGAGACCGAUAGCGAACAAGUACCGUGAGGGAAAGAUGAAAAGCACUUUGGAAAGAGAGUUAACAGUACGUGAAAUUGUUGGAAGGGAAACGCUUGAAGUCAGACUUGCUUGCCGAGCAAUCGGUUUGCAGGCCAGCAUCAGUUUUCCGGGAUGGAUAAUGGUAGAGAGAAGGUAGCAGUUUCGGCUGUGUUAUAGCUCUCUGCUGGAUACAUCUUGGGGGACUGAGGAACGCAGUGUGCCUUUGGCGGGGGUUUCGACCUCUUCACACUUAGGAUGC